AGCAGCCGCGGUAAUUCCAGCUCCAAUAGCGUAUAUUAAAGUUGUUGCAGUUAAAAAGCUCGUAGUUGAAUUUCGGGAUCAAUAUGUCGGUCGUGCCUCGGUACGUACUGGUAUCACUGGUCCCUCCUUUCUGACGAACCAUGAUGUCAUUAAUUUGGUGUUAUGGGGAGUUAGGACUGUUACUUUGAAAAAAUUAGAGUGUUUAAAGCAGGCUCACGCUUGAAUACAUUAGCAUGGAAUAAUGAAAUAGGACGUUUGAUUCUAUUUUGUUGGUUUCUAGGAUCGACGUAAUGAUUAAUAGGGAUAGUUGGGGGCAUUAGUAUUCAAUUGUCAGAGGUGAAAUUCUUGGAUUUAUUGAAGCUAACUACUGCGAAAGCAUUUGCCAAGGAUGUUUUCAUUAAUCAAGAACGAAAGUUAGGGGAUCGAAGACGAUCAGAUACCGUCGUAGUC
rnacentral:rRNA from 1 species